rfam:Myotis davidii contig55253, whole genome shotgun sequence.
GGCAGUUCUCAGGUGACGCACCCCAGAAUGGGGCUCCCUACCCUCUGGUUCCAGGUGUGUCACCCAAGAACAGCU